GCGGGUCAUAGGUAAGGUGGCUGAGUAGGCGGUAGGCUGUAAAUCUACUUACGAGGGUCCGACCUCCCUUAUCA
rnacentral:tRNA from 1 species